rnacentral:rRNA from 1 species
CCUACGGGGGGCAGCAGUAGGGAAUCUUCCACAAUGGACGAAAGUCUGAUGGAGCAACGCCGCGUGAACGAUGAAGGCCCUCGGGUCGUAAAGUUCUGUUGUAAGGGAAGAACAAGUGCCGCAGGCAAUGGCGGCACCUUGACGGUACCUUGCGAGAAAGCCACGGCUAACUACGUGCCAGCAGCCGCGGUAAUACGUAGGUGGCAAGCGUUGUCCGGAAUUAUUGGGCGUAAAGCGCGCGCAGGCGGCCUCUUAAGUCUGAUGUGAAAGCCCCCGGCUCAACCGGGGAGGGCCAUUGGAAACUGGGAGGCUUGAGUAUAGGAGAGAAGAGUGGAAUUCCACGUGUAGCGGUGAAAUGCGUAGAGAUGUGGAGGAACACCAGUGGCGAAGGCGACUCUUUGGCCUAUAACUGACGCUGAGGCGCGAAAGCGUGGGGAGC